rnacentral:lncRNA from 1 species
UGAUAAAUAAAAGUAUUUUUGAGGGUUGAAAAAGUAUUUUGAUUUUUUUCACAAAUGCAAUAUUUAAUGGAGUGGAGUGUGAAUUAAUUCAGUACCUGGAGUAUAUAGGGUUAAUGUAAUUCAAAACCAGGAGCCUUGUACACAAGUAAGGAAGAAGAAGAGGAUAGAAGUAGAGAGUGAAAGACUAGAGAAAGCUAAGGAAAGGGUGGAAAGAUAGGACGGAAAAAGAAAGCAAUGAAGAUAUAUAACAGAUAUACUGAUGUGGCUUCUGGGGCAGGGAGAUGGAGGAGAAAGACUCUUGAAAGGCUGAAGGAAGACAUAAAGACAAAUACCAGGGAGAGUCACUGCUCCCAUGGCUGAAGCCCACCCCGACAGACCCCGUCAUCGGCAAGGCCACAGCUUGCGUGGAGGUCACCACAACCUGACACAGAGGCCCUUCUGCAAGGACAUCGGCAGUGACUGUCUCUUCCACUUCAGACUGACAGUUUUGUUACUCGUCAUCAUACCCAAAGGUUAUUGUCCCCAAAUGUCUCAUCCAAUCGUCCUAAGUUUUGUCUUUAACCCUUCCCUCUGUCUCAAACCCCUUGGAUACACCCAGAGUUUAUUACACAAGUGAACGCCCUUGCAAUGCUAUCCCUAAAUAAACAUCAUUAUUCCUUGGAGAAUCUGAGGUGUUUGUUUAGGGUGAUGCUCAGGAAGACGGUUAAAUUAAUAUUCUCAGGACACUGUCAGACAAAUAUGCUUCACAGGAAAUAAGAACAUUUUUAUUAUGAGAUCCCCUGGUAACAUUAAAACCACUUGAAUAAAAAAAAAAUCAGUAAGACGUUGGGAGUGGAGAAGCUCUGGGGCUUGGACCAGUUCAAGGCCUGUGAGAAGGGGAAGACAUUGGCCUUUCUGAACUCCCCACACUGCUUUCUUAGUCUGCAGCACUACACGGCAGGCGAGUCAGGAAGCACGGCUGUGCAUCUCGCUGUCAUUUAUUUUUCUCCUGUAUCCCUCAGCGCACAAAUAUUUGGAGGAAUGACAGGAAGCAUUGUGAGCCGAGUGCACCUGCAGAGGACAUUUCAUACAUUCCUUUCUGGACGUUUUGUUAUUUUCCUCCAAGCUGAUAUCCUUUCCAUUCUUCACAGGAAAGUUCAUGAAGCAUUUCAAAAGCAUAAACAUUUCAGGUUCAACACUUUUGGUCCUUCAGUUGUAAUAUAGUUAUAAAUCUAAAAUGGAACCAACAUCUAAAAGCUGCAAUUUACGAAAGUGCCUUCUGUUUAUACCCUCAGCCCAAUCAGGUAGAUGAGAAUCAUUCUUUAUCUUUUCUUUCAGCACAGAAACUGAACCCAGGUCCUCAUGCGUGCCAGGCAAGCGCUCUCAUCCCCACUCCAUGAGGGGCAAUGUCCCCAACUCUCCUAGCUUACAGAUCACACAAAAGCAAUGUGGUUGCAUUUUUCUGGGGAUAGAACAGAAACAUCCUCCAAGUACAUUUGCCAAAUACACUGAAGUAAUCAAGGUAAAUAAUUCCUACAGUGUGAUUAUCACAAUUAUGGGUAGCCAAUGCUUUUUUUGGAUUAUGAAUCAUUUUAAUAAAUAAUAUGGCUUUUGAUUGUCUCGAAGUUUUUCUGUUUAGUGGCUUAAAGACUGAGGUUCAACACUAUGACAAGAGUGGCUUCAGUCACCUGGUUGGGAAUUGAUGCUGGGGACUGGCGGGGCUCUGGUUUGUCUUGAUCCCACAGCACCUGUCUUUUAUGAUGGGAUCUGAGCUCUUCACUCACCAGGAUGCAGAGGAGGGGGGACUCAUGCUGAGAAGAAGCACCGAGCUGGCAGGGCUGCAGUGUGGCUCGGAUUUUCAGGACCCUUCCUACUUUUUCUGGACUGAGCUUAAACUGAGUGGCUCGGGGCCGGUCAUCGACAAACUCCUUGUCUGCAUUGGCCAGGACACGAUGG